rnacentral:lncRNA from 1 species
CUUUCUUUCUUUUCUUUCUUUCUCUCUUUCUUCCUCUCUUUCUCUCUUUCUUUCUCUCUUUCUUUCUCUUUUUUUUGUUUAUAUCCAAUUUUUCAAGUACCAUUUGUCCAAAAGACUACACUUCUUCCACUGAAUUAUCCAUGCCUUUUGUUGAAAACCAAUUGUCUGAAUAUUUGUAGGUGUAUUUUUAGACUAUCUAUUCUGUUCUAUUGACUUCUUUGACUAAUUUAUGUCAAUACCACACUGUCUGGAUUAUUGUGCCUUUACAACAUGUCUUGAAAGUACAUAGUGUAGAUUAAUUUUUUUCCUUCUUUUUCAAGAUCUCUUACAUUUCUAUAUUAAUUUUAGAAUCAGCUUAUAAAUUUUGCAAAUAGCUGAAAUUUUGAUUGGAAUUAUUUUGAAUCUAUAAAUCAAUUUUGGAAGAAAUACCUUCUUAAAUAAGUUGAGCCUUCUGGCCUCUGAAUUUUGUAAAGUGCAUCAAAUUUUCUAUGUGUUGUAGCAUCAAGACAGUUUUACUUUUUACUUAUCCUUUUUCAGUAUGGAUUCCUUUUAUUUCUUUUUCUUACCUUAAGCUUCACUGGCUAUAACCCACAGUAGAAAUUGAACAAAAGUGGUGAGACCAGACAUCCUUGUAUGUUUCUGAUCUUUCAGGUAGAAAACAUUCAUUGUUUUACCAUUAAAUACGUUUGCUUUAGGUGUUUCAUAAAUACCCUUUGUUAGGUUGUAGAAGUUCCCUUCUGUAUUAGUUAUCUUUUUCUACAUAAAAAUAAACACUCAAAUUUAAUGGUUUAAAACAACACUUAUUACCCUACAGUUUCUAUAGACCAGAAAUCCAGACAUAACUUAGCAGUUUCUUUUGAUUCUGAGCCUCUAUAAGGCUCUAUAAGACUGCUCAGAAUCAAGAGAAACUGCUAAGUUAUGUCUGGAUUCCUGGUCUAUAAGGCUGCAGUCAUCUCAAGGUUCAAUUGGGACAGAGACACUUUGUGGCUCACUCACAUAGUUGUUCGUUCUGAAAUGCAGUUGAGUUCCUUGGAAAAUGUUUGGUCCUUUUGAGUCUUGCUUUAUGACUUUUUGGGCAUCUGUAGCAGUGCUCAAUCUAGGGCUAAAUAUUCCCCACUUUCCUAAAUAAUACUCCAUGCAAACCAUGUGAAGAAUUUUUUUUUUAAUUUAUUUCAGAAAGCAGAGAAUUAUUUAAAUAAAUUAAAAUUCAGACUCAAAGUGGCGAGUCCUCGGUAAACAUCUUAGGCUUUUAUUUGAGAAAGUCUAUGUCCUAGGAGUAAGGAUUAUGCCCUAAGUGUAAUAAGACUUGGACUUAGGCUUUUUAAAAUUAGUAUGUUUCAGUUUUGCCUUUAUUCCAAGACAGAUUUAUUUUUUACAAAUUUUGAAGUAUAAUUUGCUAUUACUAGACCUGUGAAGAAGCAGGAAAAAUUUACUGAUGAACAUGAACUUUUAAAAUGCAACAGGAGCAAAUCAAGGGAUAAUCUUGAUAUUGGAUUUAGCAGAAAAUGACUUCAAAAAAAACUUUUCAAAUAUUCUUACUCAUGCAAAAAUUUCUAUUUUGAAGGUAAUUAAAAACUUUUGUUUCUCUUUCUAUUUCUGGGAUAACAAUUCUAAUAUUCUCAGAUAAAUGAAUGAACUUUUAAGAGUAGGAAAGAGAUCAGUGUAAGAAACCAAAAAGAAGAAACAUCAUAAAUAAAGUUUAAUAAUGUAUUAUCCCUGGUGAAAUUGCAAAUUUAAAGAUAAAUAAAAUAUAGUUUUAUACUUACCAGAUUGAGAAAGAUGAAAAUCUGUUUUAAGAUUGCAUUCUGCUACAACUUGGAGGGUUUAAAUUGCAUAUACUCAGUAACAUGACAUUAUAUAUAAGAAUACAUAAAGCCCUUAACAUUUUUGAUGCUAAUUUCAUUUCUUAAAGCACAUCACAAGAAAACAGUUUUAAGAUAAGGCAGAGAUUUCUGUGGAAGUCUGUUUAUUUUAAACUUAUUAACAAUAGAAAAAAUAAGGAGACAUAUAUUUCCUACAAAGUUGAUUCAUUAAGUGUUCAUCCUUGCUAUGAAAAAGUAUGCAGUCAUCUAAAAUAUUUAUUUAUUUUAAAUAAAUAUAAUAUAUGCAUAUGAUAUACAUAUAUACACGUAUGCAUAUAUGUAUGUAAAUAUAUCAUAUGUACCAUAUGUUCUCAAUUAUUUAAAUGAAAUUAUAUACAGAAAACAACUAGAAAAAUGCAUAGUGAUAUUAAAUAUUGAUCACUUUUAGCUAUAAGAACUGUAACUCAAAGUUAUGAUAAUAGAAUUUAAGUUCACUGAGAAAAAGAAUCUUUUUAAACUAUUUUUGUGUAUUUCAUAGCAUCUAGCUUAGUGCAUAGCAUACGUGUUUGAAAAAAUCUGUUGAAAAUAAAUUUAUGAAGUGAUAGAUAACAAUCAAAAUCAAUAAUUCAAUAAUCCAGAAUUUAUUUUGUAAAAAAUUGUGUAUAUAUUUCAGAAUAUUUGCUAAUUAAGCUCUGUCUUUCUUAGAUCUUAAUAACAAAUAUAAAUAUGAUGAUUUUCACUUGUUAGUCAUUGUUGUGGGUACUCUAUGUGAAUUAAAAUACAAAUCUUUUAUAUUACCCUAUGAAGAAAUUCAGGCAUGGAGAAGUUAAAUAACUUGACUGAAGUCCCACAACUAGUAAGGAUGGAAACUCAGAAAAGAAACUUGAAAAUACAUAAUUUCAAGCUUCAGAAUGGAUAUAUGUCAACAAAAACCAGUCCAUUUGUUGGAAAAUUAAGUCCAUCAUAACUGCAGUUUUCUUGUAAAGAGCAAUAACAGCCUGGCAGGCACAGUGUUAUGUGUAGACUGGAUUGAAUCAAAGCAGCAUUCUCCUACUUUCCCUAUGUAUAGGAAGUGAUCCUAACAAGAAUCAGAUUUUUCCUGGACCCAUAACAGAGGAAACAACUUCUGGCACAGUAAUUCUUUGAAAUGGAACCAUGAGGGAGACAUGUAACAGGAUGGAAAUUAGACCCCUGGACUCAAGUCGUCAGCUUUCUCAGUAUUCCAAAGCAUAAGCAGAACCUUCAUUUUGUUUUAAUCACUUGACUGUAUUGAUACUUAAUAACUCAUAUGAUACUUAAAAUUCAGAGAGACAACGGUGGAGAAAAGAUCUUUCAACGUAAUAAGGAAUAAAGGAACUUAUCUUAGAAAAAAGUGACAAUGAAGGAAGAAAUCCUGACCUUCAGUUUUAUUAAUAAUAAUUAUUAUUAUAUUAUUAUCAUAUUAUUUAUCUAUAAAAAAUAUUUGACAAGAAAUUGUAGUUCUCCUGUGAAGAUCAAGAAACAUCCUGAUUUACAGCUAUAAAUAAUACUUCUGAAAUUGUAGCAAUCCAUUAAAGGAAAAAGUAAGAGCAAGGUGUUCCCAAGCACUGUUCCUUUCACAGAUAUACAGUCCUUAGAAAUUUCAAAAAGAGCUACUUAUUUGCAAGUGUAUAGUUUCUGAAUUUUGAGAACUAUAUUCUAGAGGAUCAUUUUUCGCAGCCCGAAGAAUGAGCUGAAUCCAAUGAAGGAAAGCAAAGGUUAACUGAGUUAUCCAGUAGCAUCUUCUGUCAGGAAAAAAAAAAAGAUAAAAGCCUCUAGACUUCAUGGGGAAAGAUGACUAUACCACACGAGUUCUAAGCCACAUGAUCAGGACAAGUGAGUUACAAUACAGAAAAAGACUAAGGUAAGACAAGUAGAGCAUCUUUGUGUCAGUAAAGGGUGUACUAACAAGAAAAAUCUGAGCUCGAAUUAUGAGGCUCAAGAGAAAAAGCAGUGGGUUUUUUUGAUGGUGGGAAGAGUGUGGCAAGUGUCUUUUUCACUGAAAGGUUAGUUUUGGCCCUUACACCUCUUAGUGUUGCUUCAGCUGUACAAUGUCUUUGUCAAACCUAGGCUCUUCAUUCUAAUAAUUAAAAGAGACCAGAAAGCAUUGCUUAUCCUGGAUUCACUCACUUCUCUGUUAUAAACAUAGAGAAAUAAGCCUUUUGGGAGAGCUCAGUAUGUUUUCUGAUGAACUAGAAACCACAGUGGGAUUUCAACACUCAAUUUUAGCCCUAGGUUAAGUCAGGGAAUGUAGUGUCUCAAAAUUAGAAUAAAAUAAAGAACUCAUUAAAGACAUGUUAUAACCAUGAGCAUUGAGUCUUGGAUAAGACUUUGAAAGAAAGUGAUAAUAAAUUACACUUCCACUGUAUCAAGAAAUAUGUGAUGAUUUCUGCCCGAGACACUAUCAUGUAAGUAAACCUGGUGACUAUCUAUGUAUAAAAAUCAGCGAUCACAUUUAUUUAUUUGUUUAUUUAUUUGCAUCAAAACUAGAAAGUCUGUUUCAUUACUAGAAAUUAUUUUAUAUUCCUGGUAGCUGCAACAGCAUGGGCCUUGAAGAUACUAGAGACUCAUUCUUAUUAAGACAUUAGCUGAUACAUUUAGAAAAUUUUUUAGCUGCAAAAAUAACAGGAGGCCAACUGCUUAACAAUAAAAAACAAUUGAAAAGAACACUAAACAUGUAUUAUUUCUCUGUAAUCUCAAAAUUUAUAGGUUGUAGAUGAUGGAAAUCAACUCUAGCUGAUUUAAGAAAAAAUUUUCGAAUAGAUGGCUCCCAAAAUCUCUGCACCGAUCCGAGAAACAGGUGCAGAGGUUUGCAGCCAAGGAUGAAACUAAAAUCAUCUUGCAAACCUUGUCCCAUGAAAACACCACUGUUGAGACCCUUGGGCAUGGACAGACCAGCUUUCACCACUGGCACUACCAAAGCAGAACCUGAGACAUUGGUGUUGGCAAUGCUGCCCAGCUGCCUCUGGAAAGUGGACAUAGCUACUGCUGGUGGACUACCCUCACUUGAAGUGUUUCCUCCUGGUCCAUGCUCUUUCAUAUCACAAGCUCCUGUUAAGAUAGGGCAGAGUCUAGUUUGCGAGAAAAAAUGGGAAAGUGGCAACUUUGGUUUUAUAAUGUAAGGUUGACUUUACGUAAUAGUGAGGAGGCAUCCUAGCACAGAAAGAGGAUUGGAUUGUUGGAUAGUCAAAAAGAAAGACAAAUGUCCAUUGCUCCCACAGAAUCAGAAGUCCAGUUAUUGAGUUCUAGAUUGAUGAUUUAUUAGCUCUGUGCUGUAAGAACCUAGAUUUUUCCUGUCUCUUCCCUCUGCAGUCCUCAGUAAGUUGACCUUUGGUUUUUGCUUUUUUUUUUUUCUUUUCAAGUUGUAUUUCUUCAUUUGCUUAUGUUUCCUAAGGCAGCUGCAGAAUUUCUAAAUCAGUCUAUAUUCCAGGCUCAGAGAAUAGUGCCAGGAAGAAAACUGUCUGGGCUUAAAGGUAUGAAGUUUUCUAGAUGGGUUGCAUCAAGAGAGACAUUUGAUAUACUUGAAAGACAUUCACUUAAAAGUGCCAGCCCUGGGAGUGAGCGAGAGAGAUGUAAAAUCUCCAAAGAUAAAAUUGUGUUUCUUUUAUUACUGUUUGAGCCCCAGGGGAACAAUAACAAGAAGUCUGCAGAAGCCCUGAGGACUACUUAUUGAUAUGAAGGAAUUCUUGAAGAGGGUUCUCACCAAAAGGAAGGUGGAGAAAGGGAUCAAUGAUUUCAUGAUCUAUUAUUGCUACGUUUACAAUUAUCCUAAAGGGCUCCAACAUGUACCCCACCAAAAUGAUCCAAACCCAUUACUAACAUACCAAUAUUACAACUUUAUCCUUUUGGUCUUAAAAAAAUAUUCUAUUAAAGCAUAAAGAAAGGGUCUUAGUUAAAAUUCUUUCAGUUGUAAGUGAAAAAAACUUAAUCCAAUUGGCUUAAGAAAAAGAAGAACUUAAUGUAUCAUAUCAUGGAAACAUCUAUAGGAGAACUGACUAAGCUUGAGGCAGGAGCUCAAAUGAUGCCAUCAGGACCCUCUUCAUCUAUUUCUACUUCUGUCUUUAUGCCAGUGCCAGUAAUGACAGUGAUGGUUACACAUGGUAUAGCAGCUCCAGAUUUUACAUCCUCACAACUUCAAGGCCAAUGAAAGAAAGAAAGAAAGAAAGAAAGAAAGAAAGAAAGAAAGAAAAAGAAAGAAAGAAAGAAAGAGAGAAAGAAAGAAA